rnacentral:rRNA from 1 species
CUACGGGGCGCAGCAGUGGGGAAUAUUGCGCAAUGGAGGAAACUCUGACGCAGCCAUGCCGCGUGAGUGAAGAAGGCCUUAGGGUUGUAAAGCUCUUUCAGAUGUGAUGAUGAUGACAGUAGCAUCAGAAGAAGUUCCGGCUAACUUCGUGCCAGCAGCCGCGGUAAUACGAAGGGAACUAGCGUUGUUCGGAUUUACUGGGCGUAAAGAGCAUGUAGGCGGAUUGGUCAGUUGGGGGUGAAAGCCCGGAGCUCAACUCCGGAACUGCCUUCAAUACUGCCAGUCUAGAGUCCGUAAGGGGGUGGUGGAAUUCCGAGUGUAGAGGUGAAAUUCGUAGAUAUUCGGAGGAACACCAGUGGCGAAGGCGACCACCUGGUACGGUACUGACGCUGAGAUGCGAAAGCGUGGGGAGCAAACAGGAUUAGAUACCCCCGUAGUC